UUUGUAGGCGGCGCUGUUAGUCGGGUGUGAAAUCCCAGGGCUCAACCCUGGAACUGCGCCCGAUACUGCAGUGCUUGAGGGAGACAGAGGUAAGCGGAACUGAUGGUGGAGCGGUGAAAUGCGUUGAUAUCAUCAGGAACACCGGUGGCGAAAGCGGCUUACUGGGUCUCUUCUGACGCUGAGAAACGAAAGCUAGGGGAGGCAAGG
rnacentral:rRNA from 1 species